UACGUAGGGUGCGAGCGUUAAUCGGAAUUACUGGGCGUAAAGCGUGCGCAGGCGGUUCGUGAUGUCUGAUGUGAAAGCCCCGGGCUCAACCUGGGAAUUGCAUUGGAAACUAGCGGGCUGGAGUGUGGCAGAGGGGGGUGGAAUUCCACGUGUAGCAGUGAAAUGCGUAGAGAUCGGGAGGAACACCGGUGGCGAAGGCGGGUCUCUGGGCAAUUCCUGACGCUGAGGCGCGAAAGCGUGGGGAGCAAACAGG
rnacentral:rRNA from 1 species